AGUCGGAAUCAACUCAAUGGCACUGGGUUUGGUUUUUGGUUUAUUGUUCAGUAUAAGAUUGAUUUACAUAAGAUACAAUUGGUCUCUAUGUGUCCGGAGUACAAGAGAAAGAAGGAAACCCAGACUCGGAGAAGAAACUAGUCCACAGGACUAAUAGUUUACACGAAGCACGACCUCAUCUACCCUGAGAUCAGAAGACAAGACGGCGCCCAGCAACCACUACUGACCAUUCUGAUCGGGAACACAAUAGAUCUUGAUAGAAUGGGGGCAAGAUAUAUAACAACUCAAAUUCUUGAAAAGUCCAGACUUACUGGACCAGUUAAGACUGGAGAACUCCCUGAGACUAUGACCCAGACCCAAAAAACCAAACCCAGUGCUGCUGAGUCAAUUCCGACUCAUAGUGACAGAGUAGAACUGCUCCAUAGAGUUUCCAAGGAGCGCCUGGUGGAUUUGAACUGCUGCCCUUUUGGUAAGCAGCCAUAGCACUUAACCAUUAGGCCACCAGGGUUUCCCUAUCGCCCAGAGAUACACUUUAAACCUUCAACCAAAACCAUUCCAUGAGGUCAGUUUUAGCUAACAGAUUGGCUUAUAUUAAGUGCUACCACCCGUGAGUACUCUUUUAAAAUAUCAUCUAUAUGAGACCAAAUAGCCAACAUUUACUCAAAAAAUGAAGAUUAAAGAAGGCAAGGGGGUAGGGAAAGUAGAUAAGUGGAAACGAACAACCAGUACAGAAAUAAUAAGAAAGCUGACGCACUGUGAAAAAUGUAACCAACGUCACUGAACAGAUUGUGUAGAAAUUGUUAAAUGGGAAUCUAAUUUGCUGUGUAAACUUUCACUGAAAACACAAUAAAAUAUUUUAAUAAAAAAAGGUGUAUUUAGAAUAAGUAUUUGAAAGUUUUAAAGCAUGGACAUUGGAUUUUAUGUAAAAUAUUUUUGUGAUAUUGUUGGUCCUUGUUCAUAUAAUUGUGUCUAUAAGAUGAUGCUGGCAUCUGAUGUCAGAGCAUUAGUGCAUUACUAGCAUUCUUAGAAAAACCUGCUUUGACUGUGAUAAAUGACUAUUUUACUAUACGACUGAGUUCUAUUCAUUUGCCAGCAUUUGGUUCAGCAUUAUAAAGCUCAUAUUCACAGAGACUGGAUCUCUGGUUUUACUAUUUUAUGCUUUUUGUUUCAAAUCAUAUUAGGUUGGUAGUAUUGGUUAGAUGAAAUGAUUCCCUAGUUUAGCGUGUUUCUUACAUAGUAAAUACUGCAUAUCUCAGAAAUCUCAUAGGUGAAUGAAUGCUACUUGAAUGGUUUAUGCAGCGUUGGAAUUAGACUUUUAUUUUGUACAUUCAGGUCUGCCAUAAUGUGACAUAUGUGUCUUAAAAAUCACCCACUGUGCAAAAUCAUGUAAUAAAAACCACAGGGCUUAUGGGGAAAAUGGGGUUAUGGAGCAUUUAGAAUCAUUGCCAAUGACACACAAAGAAAAAGAUUAGUACCAAGUAAAAACUGUAGCAUGGUUUUUUACACAUGUUAAAUGGAGAUGGAUCUAUCUAUCAUCUAAGUUCUUUUCCUUUCUGUCAUCAAUACUACAAUAUGAUACUUUACCUUAAAUGUCCUGAAGUUUGCUUUUAGGUAGAAGUCAGAAGAAUUGCAGCUUGAGUUAUUGUGGAGUUGUGAAAGGAAGGUUAACUAAAAACAGGAAAAGCUGUAACCUGUAUGGAUCAGUGUGGCUCACGAUGAAUUCUGAGAACUGGGGUAGCUGGGAGAUGUUUGAGAUGCUUGAGCUUGCAGAGGAAACAGCUGUCCCCAAGCAUAAUAAGAAGUGGAGCCUGAAGAAAGGGAAGAGAUACAAGAACUUCUAUCCUGUGAGAAGCUUGAAAGUGUGAAAAAAUAUGAAAUCCCUUAUGAAAAAUCUGAAACCCAGAAAACUCAUUCCCAAGACAACUAUCAUUUAUGAAGAAAAAGAGUUACAAGAAUGACAUCAUCACAUUGGAGUAAAGGAGGAGAAAAGAUGCUACCUGUUCACUAGUCAAAGAACCUCCUGACCUCUUAACAGUCUGAAGGAAGAAUGUGAGUCAUGUGCAAGGAGCCAAAGUGGUUUCACUUUGAAUUAUUCCUUUGUAAUAAAGAAAAAAAGAAAAUUUAAUUUGCAUAGGACCUUACUUUUUUAUGGUUUAUACAUUUUGUUGAUUUACUCCCUUUUUCCUCAGCAUUGGAUCUGUCAUUCUGCAUUGUUUAUUCCUGAGCUUUUCCACCAGAAUGUGGAAAACAACCAGUGUAAUAAUUUAAGCCACAAAAAUGCGUGUAUUGAAUUCUGUAUAGAACUAGCCUCAGAAGUUUGUUUAGUUACAUUGUUGUCCAGCUGAGGGAAAAAAUUUGCAAGGAAUAUUAAACAGAUGGUCUAUCAUGAGUAUGUUGAAUUUUAGCCAUUCUAAUGUGUAUGUUGUGGAAUCUCAUUUUGGUUUUAAUCUGCAUUUCCCUGGUGACCAAUGAUGUUGAAUAAAAUUUCCUGUGCUCAUUUAUUAUUUUUGUCUCUUCUUUUUUGAAAAACUUGAUAAAGUUUUGUCCAUUUUUAAAUUGGGUUGUGUAUCUUAUUAUUGAGUUCAGAGAGUUCUUUAUAUAUCCUGGCCGAUGUCCUUUAGCAGAUAAUGUAUUAACAAUAUUUUCUGUUAUCUGUGGCUUGCCUUUUUCUUUUUUAAAAAAUUGUGCUUUAGGUGAAAGUUUACAGAGCAAAUUAGUUUCUCAUUGCCUUUUUAUUUUCUUAAUAGUGUUUUCAAAGAGCAAAAGUUUUUUUUUUAAAUCCGAUGAAUUAAUUUUUUUGUUUGUCUACAAUUUUUAUGUCCUAUGAAAUCAUUGCCUAUGCCAAGGUUGCAAAAACUUUUCUCCUAUUUUCCUUGAGAAUUAUGAUUUUAGCUUUUACAUUUAAGACUAUGAUUCAUUUUGAGUUAAUUUUUAUGUGUGGUUUGAAUUAAAUGUCAAUAUUUAUUUUUUUCUCAUAGAAAUCCAAUUAUUCCGGCAACAUUUACUGAAAAGACUUAUGUCCGCUGUUGAAUUGCUUUGGCACCUCCAUUGCAAAUCACAUAGCCUGGCAUAUGUGGGUCCAUAUAUGGAUUCUCUAUUUGAUUCCAUUGAACUCUUUAUUAUUUUGGCAACACCAGACAGUAUAGGUUACUGUAGAUGUAUAAAAAUUCUUAGAAUCAAGUAGUUUAAGUUUUCUUUUUU